AUUGAACGCUGGCGGCAGGCCUAACACAUGCAAGUCGAACGCGUGGCGGACGGGUGAGUAAUGCAUGGGACACUGCCUGAUGGAGGGGGAUAACUACUGGAAACGGUAGCUAAUAACGCAUACCAUCAGAUGUGUCCAGAUGGGUUUAGCUAGUGGGUGGGGUAACGGCUCACCAAGGCGACGAUCCCUAGCUGGUCUGAGAGGAGGACCAGCCACAAUGGAACUGAGAGGCGGUCCAGACUCCUACGGUAGGCAGGAGUGGGGAAUAUUGCACAAGUGGCUCAGGCCUGAUGCGGCCAUGCCGCGUGUAUGGAGGGGGCCAUCGGGUUGUAGAGUACUUUCAGCGGGAAGGCGUUACCCGCAGAAUAAGCACCGGCUAACUCCGUGCCAGCAGCCGCGGUAAUUC
rnacentral:rRNA from 1 species